AUUACACCCCCCCCCCGCCCAAAAAAAAAAACAAACAACUCACAAACAAUUUGUCUGCUACUACUAGAUGAUGCCUGUUCCAUAAAAAAGUAGGGAAAGUAGUCAAAAAUUAUUAUUUUUUUUUUGCUUUGUUUAAAAGAAGUCUACAAGAGUCAAAUAUUUAGGCUAAAAACAAAAAAGAGAGAAACUAUGAUCAAGAAAGUAUACCAAGUUUCAAAGUCAGUCGAAUUAUGGCAAAAAAAAAAGGAGAAUAACUCUUAGAUUCAAUUAUUUAUUACAAGUCAAUUUCAAUUUAAUAUCUAAAAGAGUACAGCACAAUAUUUAAUCUAUAAAUUGAAUAAAAUAACAUAAUAUAAUUUUUAAGUGUCAGGCAGAGGGCAUAUUAAGGAAAGUUAACUGGCAAUCUCAUUAGGAAAUUAUUAUGAUAAUCUUAUGGUUUUUGUUUUGUUUUCACCCUAAUGUAUGCCUUCUGCCCAUGUGAGGACAGUAGAACUAGAAACAAUCAUUUGGAUGAAGAGAAAUAGAUCAACACAAUAAUUUGAUGAACAAUAGAUAUCAGAACUAUGUCGAGAAUAAUAUUUUUACUUUUGCACAUAGAACUGGAUGUAAUCAAAA